rnacentral:rRNA from 1 species
CAAACGACUAUUGGCAACGAAUAUCUCGGCUCUCACAUUGAUGAAUAAUGUAGCAAAAUGCAAUACUUGGUGUGAAUUACAGAAUCCCGUGAACCAUCGAGUCUUUGAACGCAAGUUGUGCCCGAAGACAUCAGGCCAAAGGCACGUCUGCCUAGGCAUUAUGC